ACUUCUCCAGGAGGCGUGGUUUAGCGUCCCCAUUUUCUCCUACCACUCUUGCCCGGGACAUGGCGACUCCCGGCCGUCUGACUCCGGGGGCACCCAUUGAUCCAUCGCAACCCCCAGUCAUUGAGGGCUUUACCCCCAGUGUCUACAGUAGUACGGAAACCUUCAAGGAAAAGUUCAUUCGCAAGACCCGCGAGAACCCAAUGGUACCCAUAGGCUGCCUGGGCACGGCGGCCGCCCUUACCUACGGCCUCUAUUGCUUCCACCGGGGUCAGAGCCAGCGCUCCCAGCUCAUGAUGCGCACCCGGAUCGCCGCCCAGGGCUUCACGGUCGCAGCCAUCUUGCUGGGUCUAGCUGCAUCCGCUCUUAAGUCUCGAUCCUGAGCCCGCGGUCUGGCCUUGAAAGCUCCGCCGAGAUCAUUCCCAGCCCCGGGAGCAGCCACCGGUCCUGCCACAGGACUUAAUCCCUCAUCCCUUCUGAUAAACCCCUGUAUCAAUGGAGGAGGAAGCGGCGAAUUGACUAACCGACAGAUUUUUUUCCAGGAGUCUCAGACCAAUUAACAAUGGAUUGCGGACCGCAGUUUGGAUACCCCUGAUAUAGAGCCUCAAAGGAGUUCCUAGUCUGUGGUCAGCUCAGAAGUGUUGAUUUGGAGCCAGAUUCCUUCCAUGUGUGACUCCCAUCAGUUUCAACACAAGCUGCAAGCGGCCAGAAGGGAAAAAUGGGAGUGAAGAAGACACACCCCCUUCGCGGGCACCCUGACAGUCUGGAUUGGGGUUUCCCGUCAGAUCUCAGGAAUUUUUUUCGCUUUCCCGUUCCGGAAUCCCGAGAUACAAACUGUUUUCUGUUCUCCAUGAUGAAUUGUUUCCGCAAAGUGACGCGGCCGAUACUACCAACCACCUGGGUUCGAUUUUCCAGAUUUCCUGACCAACUUUUCUCGGGAUUCGGGUACAGAAAAGCGAAAAAAAAUUCCCGAGAACGGGCGCGGGAAUCCCACCCGGAAACCCGAGUCUGGAUUUCUAAAUGGAGGCAUGUAUGACUAGGGCCAGCUAAGUUUCUUAUUCCCACCACGGUCUCUCAUCUGUAAGGCACAGAUUAUGAAUAUAAAGCAGUAUAUUGUGGUGACCUUUGGCCUCAAGACAGAGUGGUGAAGACUAUGGAACUUCUAAAGAGGAUAGUCACUAUUCUUUAAUGGUAAGCAUUAUUAUGUGUUCCCACCCUCCAAGAAAAAUAUGUUGAAGUCCCCUCCCCAGUACGUCAGAUGUCCUUACUUGGAAGUAGCAUCUCUACAAAGGUAAUCAAAUUAAAAUGAGGUCAUUAAGGUAGACCCUACUCCAAUAAGACCGACUGGUGUCAUUAAAAGGGAACUUGCACAGACAGACAUGCACAGAGGACAGGCGAUGUGAAGAUGGCGAUGUAAAGAUUAACUCAAGAUUGUAGUGAUGCACCUACAAGCCCAGGAACCCCCGAAGUUGCCAGAAGUUAGAAAAGAAGUCUGCAACAGAUCCUUCCCUGGUGCCUUCAGAGGCCCAUUUGGAGCCAGAUUCCUUCCAUGUGCUGACGCCUUGUCUUCAGACUUCUGACCCCCAGAAUGGUUAGACAAUAAAUUUCUGUUGUUCUAAGCCACACACUGGUGCUUUGUUACGACAGCGCUAGGAAACUAAUAUGGUUGGCAAUUACUCAAAUUUUUUAAACAUGUACAGGUCACGAUAUUUUGAAUGUAGCCUGUUUGCAACCUCUGCUGAAGGGGAAGAGGUGUGGUCCCUGAUGGUUUAUCCCAAAUCCACAGAGGGGCACAGAGGAAGGAUGCAAAGCCGUGGGCUCCCCAAAUCCAGAGGUUUCUGGCCAAUCCCAAGGAAGGGGGUCUGGCAGAGGCUCCCUGUCACCCAGGCUGAGACGGAGCCUCCACUGGGAACCUCUGGUCUCACCUCUCCCACCCUCGAAGCCUCUUACCCUCUGGGAGUUUAGGUGUCUGUGGUAUAUGAUGAGGACAAUAGAAUCCCCAUCACACAGGCUUGUUCAAAGAUCAGAAAGGAUCAAACUUGCAAACAAAUUCUGUGAGAGGUUGUCAUUCCUCCUUCGAGGAGAUGUAGAGAAAGCA